rnacentral:rRNA from 1 species
UACGUAGGGGGCAAGCGUUGUCCGGAAUUAUUGGGCGUAAAGAGCUCGUAGGUGGUUCGGUAAGUCGGAUGUGAAAUCUCCAGGCUCAACCUGGAGGGGUCAUUCGAUACUGCCGUGACUAGAGGUCGGUAGGGGAGUGUGGAAUUCCUGGUGGAGCGGUGAAAUGCGCAGAUAUCAGGAGGAACACCGAUGGCGAAGGCAGGUCUCUGGGCCACUACUGACGCUGAGAAGCGAAAGCAUGGGGAGCGAACAGG